UACGUAGGGUGCAAGCGUUGUCCGGAUUUAUUGGGCGUAAAGAGCGUGUAGGCGGUGAUGUAAGACAGAUGUGAAAUCCCCCGGGCUCAACCCGGGAACUGCAUUUAAUACUGCUCUGCUCGAGUAUUAGAGAAGAAGCUGGAAUUUACGGUGUAGCAGUGAAAUGCGCAGAUAUCAGGAGGAACACCGGUGGCGAAGGCGGGUCUCUGGGCCGGAUACUGACGCUGAGGAGCGAAAGCGUGGGGAGCGAACAGG
rnacentral:rRNA from 1 species